rnacentral:rRNA from 1 species
UUAAAUUGAAGAGUUUGAUCAUGGCUCAGAUUGAACGCUGGCGGCAGGCCUAACACAUGCAAGUCGAACGGUAACAGGAAGAAGCUUGCUUCUUUGCUGACGAGUGGCGGACGGGUGAGUAAUGUCUGGGAAACUGCCUGAUGGGGGGGGGUAACUACUGGAAACGGUAGCUAAUACCGCAUAACGUCGCAAGACCAAAGAGGG